AAACUGAAGAGUUUGAUCAUGGCUCAGAUUGAACGCUGGCGGCAGGCCUAACACAUGCAAGUCGAGCGGUAGCGGGAAGAGCUUGCUCUUUGCCGACGAGCGGCGGACGGGUGCGUAAC
rnacentral:rRNA from 1 species